rnacentral:rRNA from 1 species
UGGGGAAUCUUCCGCAAUGGACGAAAGUCUGACGGAGCAACGCCGCGUGAGUGAAGAAGGUUUUCGGAUCGUAAAACUCUGUCUUUUGGGGCGAACGUGAGUAUGGUGAACAAUCAUAGUCAGUGACGGUACCAAAGGAGGAAGCCACGGCUAACUACGUGCCAGCAGCCGCGGUAAUACGUAGGUGGCAAGCGUUGUCCGGAAUAUUGGGCGUAAAGAGCGCGUAGGCGGGAUAGUCAGUCUGUUGUAAAGUGCGGGGCUCAACCCCGUGAUGGCAAUGGAAACAGCUAUUCUUGAGUGCAGGAGAGGAAAGUGGAAUUCCCAGUGUAGCGGUGAAAUGCGUAGAUAUUGGGAGGAACACCAGUGGCGAAGGCGACUUUCUGGACUGUGUCUGACGCUGAGGCGCGAAAGCCAGGGGAGCGAACGGGAUUAGAUACCCCGGUAGUCCUGGCCGUAAACGAUGGGUACUAGGUGUGGGAGGUAUCGACCCCCUUCCGUGCCGGAGUUAACGCAAUAAGUACCCCGCCUGGGGAGUACGGUCGC